rnacentral:rRNA from 1 species
AACGAACGCUGGCGGCAUGCCUAACACAUGCAAGUCGAACGAGACCUUCGGGUCUAGUGGCGCACGGAUGCGUAACGCGUUGGAAUCUGCCCUUCUGUUGUGAAUAACUGAGAGAAAUUUCAGCUAAUACCUUAUAAUGUCUUCGGACCAAAGAUUUAUCGCCGAGGGAUGAGCCCGCGUAGGAUUAGGUAGUUGGUGGGGUAAUGGCCUACCAAGCCGACGAUCCUUAGCUGGUCUGAGAGGAUGAUCAGCCACACUGGGACUGAGACACGGCCCAGACUCCUACGGGAGGCAGCAGUGGGGAAUAUUGGACAAUGGGCGAAAGCAUGAUGCAGCAAUGCCGCGUGAGUGAUGAAGGCCUUAGGGUUGUAAAGCUCUUUUACCCGGGAUGAUAAUGACAGUACCGGGAGAAUAAGCCCCGGCUAACUCCGUG